rnacentral:rRNA from 1 species
UACGUAGGGUGCAAGCGUUGUCCGGAAUUAUUGGGCGUAAAGAGCUCGUAGGCGGUUUGUCGCGUCUGGUGUGAAAAUCCAGGGCUUAACCCUGGACCUGCAUCGGGUACGGGCAGACUAGAGUGCGGUAGGGGAGAUCGGAAUUCCUGGUGUAGCGGUGAAAUGCGCAGAUAUCAGGAGGAACACCGGUGGCGAAGGCAGCUCACUGGGACGGUAUUGACGCUGAGACGCGAAAGCGUGGGGAGCAAACAGG